rnacentral:rRNA from 1 species
UACGAAGGGGGCUAGCGUUGCUCGGAAUUACUGGGCGUAAAGGGCGCGUAGGCGGAUACUUAAGUCGGGGGUGAAAGCCCGGGGCUCAACCUCGGAAUUGCCUUCGAUACUGGGUAUCUUGAGUUCGGGAGAGGUGAGUGGAAUGCCGAGUGUAGAGGUGAAAUUCGUAGAUAUUCGGCGGAACACCAGUGGCGAAGGCGACUCACUGGCCCGAUACGUGACGCUGAUGCGCGAAAGCG